rnacentral:rRNA from 1 species
UCCGGCCUACGGGGCGCAGCAGUGGGGAAUAUUGCACAAUGGGGGAAACCCUGAUGCAGCAACGCCGCGUGAGUGAUGACGGCCUUCGGGUUGUAAAGCUCUGUCUUCAGGGACGAUAAUGACGGUACCCAAAGAGGAAGCUCCGGCUAACUACGUGCCAGCAGCCGCGGUAAUACGUAGGGAGCGAGCGUUGUCCGGAAUUACUGGGUGUAAAGGGAGCGUAGGCGGGCGAGAAAGUUGAAUGUUAAAUCUACCGGCUUAACUGGUAGCUGCGUUCAAAACUUCUUGUCUUGAGUGAAGUAGAG